GCGGGGGUUCCUGAGUGGUCAAAAGGGCAGGACUUAAGAUCCUGUGGCUUAGUGCCUUCGUAGGUUCGAAUCCUACCCCCCGCA
rnacentral:tRNA from 2 species